GCCGAUAUAGCUCAGUUGGUAGAGCAGCUGAUUUGUAAUCAGCCGGUCGUUGGUUCAAGUCCGACUAUCGGCUCCA
rnacentral:tRNA from 1 species